UUUCACACGUAAAACACAUUUAUAGAUUCAUUCACCACUCCUGUUAGUUUUGGACGCGCUCGGCUCCAGCCAAUCAGACGCAACCUGUGUAAGCAAAGGCUGAUGGGAGAACGGAGAGACCCAUUUAUAAGAAUAAGAAAAUGAGGCGGAACUGAUUGAUUCUAAUCUUGAAAAUGAGUGAUUCAGAGGAUCCCGAGCUGGAGGAAGAGCUUCAGGCUGCUGACGAACUCCUUCAAGAUAUGCAGAAUGAUGCACAGAGUGAACCUCAGCCAAGACCAGUGCGCUGGAAAAAACGUGACAGACAGGGAGCUUUUAUUCCUCAAAGACCAUCAACCAGUCGAAGUACUAGUUGCAUGCCACGUGUGUCCAGAGAGCAGCAUCAAUGUCCACGUGAAGAACCUAGUUAUGUUGCCAGUGUCAACCCAACAAAAGUGUAUGGAACUGAGGUGCUUCGUCAGGAGCUCCUUCAGUUGUUGGAGGAUGGAGAAGAGGACGCAGCCAUGACUUGUGAGACGUCGUCUGAGUCAGCUGCUACUCACUGGGCGAUCAGAAAUAUGGUGUCCUCGCAAAAGUGGAAAGAGGCCAGGCCUUGUCUUAUAGACAAUAUGUUAGCUACUCUGGAUCCACAGUCACACCGUGUGUGUCAGUGUGGCAAACAAGUAGUUGUGAGGUGUCUGGACUGCCUGCCUCUUCCAUUCCUUUGUGCUGACUGUGAUAUUGCAGUUCACACACGCUUUGUCCUGCACAGCAGAGAGGCAGUAACAGGAGGGUUUUUGCAGCCUUCAUCAGAGUUUCACAAGCCAAUAGUUCGGCUGUUGCCUGUGCAAAGGCCAGACCAUGUGUGUGACUGCCCAGCAGGUAACGUUGAGGUUUCACCCGGCGCAAUUGUGGCUCUUGUAACCAUAAAUGGCCGUUAUAACCUUGCACUGCCAGUGGUGAGCUGCACCAGCUGUGGCCUAAUGUGGUCCCCCUCAGUUAAGGACAUCCUGGGUAGUGGAUAUUGGCCUGGCACCUUAAAUUUCUGCACCCUGUUUUCAAUGGAUGUCUUUCAGUCUUUCUAUGACAUUAAGAAGGCUGCACCAGGGAUGUCACUUAAGGCAUUUGUCAAAAUGCUGGAUGAACGAACAGCCCAUUUUGGAAGGGUGAGUUUCUAAAUUUGCUAAGUUUAAGGAAAUUGUGCAAAUCAAUGUUUAUGAUGACUGUCCUUGAAUAUUCUGUUGUAUGUCCUCUAUGUAAAAGAAUGGCCGAAUAUCAGCUGAUGCCUUCAGUAAAAGUUUCUUGGAGUGGAGUGCUGUAAAGUUUGAGGUGGACAAGAUGUGCAAGGAGCCAUGCUUUAGCUGCCCUGCCUGCACUCCAGACAUGCUUGCCGUCUCAGUUGAUGGAAACCGCAAGCUUUAUCGCUUUCAGUCUAAUGCAAGCACUUCAGAGCAGGGGAACUUUGAAGGUGUCUUCAUUGAAAAAGAUGAGGAAGUUGCUGAGUUUGUGAAAUACAUCCAGAGACACACAAAUCAUGUCCCGGGGAAAGGGUUGUGCGGAUCUUCAUCUUGGACUGCAGCAAAGGAGUCGUCCAAAAAGUCCACUGGGAAGUUGGAUGAGGAGGGCAUGGAAAUAGCUGUUUGUCGCCACGGAGUCCUCUUAGCUGCAUUGAACAUGUUUCGAGGGGAGAUCUUUGCUUACCCCCUUUUUCUCCAGAGGAAGUUGGCAGCUAGCAUCCCAGGACAUAUUACGUUCCUUUGCUCCGAUGUGGCCUGUAAAUAUUUCCCCUAUUUAACCAAGGUGGCUCAGCAGUGCCCUGAGCUGAGGAACCUCUUGUCAAUGCGUCCUUUUCUCUCCGUCAUGCAUGCAAAGGCUCACACUUGGAAAUGCGAGAUCAAAUGGGGAGGUGCGUUUCAGGAUGGGGCCGGUUCAACAGUUGGAGAAGAGGUGGAACAAGUAAACAGUUUCCUGUCUAGGGCGGCCAUCACAACGAAGUACAUGUCUAAAGCAGGGCGAACAGACAUGCUGACCCUCCUGGCUUUGGGGUGGAACAAAAGGAAAGUGGAACAACUGGGCCGCACUUUGAGCCAGUGAUAUCUAAAGAUCAUAAGGAUCCUUAGAGAACAAGUGGAGAGCCUGAAUGCGACCAGAAAUGAGCUGGGUGUGGAUGACGACACGCUGCAGCAAUGGGUGGCCGAUGUGCAGAAAUGGGCUGAAGAAAGUGAUCAAACUGAUGGCAGCCUUGGAGCGUUGCAGGCACGAAUAGAGGAGCUUGUCGUCAUCAUCAGAGUGCGAACACAAAGUCUUUACAGACAAAAUGAUAGCAACAAGAGGCGACACAGAAUUCGCAAGGUCAUCUUAGUUGAGAAGAAACGCUUGGCGGCUGCUGUUGACGACUACAACAAGCUCGCUGAACCAACAAAGCAAAUCGUAUCCAGUGAUGCCCUCAUGCAGACCGAUAUUUGGCCCUGGCAGAGCACAAGUGAACCUGCUGCUGACCUCCGGACAAAGAGAAAGGUCUUUGAGAAGGUGAUGGCUGUGAGGCGCCUGAGAGAGGAGGAGAUGAUCCUUUGCAGGGAGAUGCGGCAUCACUGGACAGUGUUGCGAAUGCGUUCUGUGGUGUUGGGGACAAUCUCCUCAGACUCCUCCUUUGUUGGCAUGUCGGAGGAUGCACAGAAGGGACUCUGUAGCCUGGUUUUAAAAAAACAAAGUGAACUGAAAGCUGAAAUGCUCAAAGUAAAGGACAUGUACAAGAGAAUCCUCAGCCACCAACCACUCCUGGAAAUGGACUCGGAGGAGGAGGAGGACAUUCCAGACGAUGCCACUGAGAGUGAUUUGAGCACUUCUGAUGAAGACUGAUUGUGUCAUCAUUGAUGUUAUGUUUGGUAAAAUAAAAAGUUAAUCACAUCUCUGUUCAAUGUGAUUUUUCAACAGACAUUUUACAUUUUGAGAAGAAAAAUGGAAUUUCCUUGGUGCAGUUGUUUACCCUGAAUCAUUAUUUCCCAUCUAAUUUAAUGACUAGUGUACAUGUUCAUAUACGAUAACAUAAUUUAAUUUAUGGGAUGCUUUCUGGGCUGC
ensembl:lncRNA